AAGUCACAGUUGACCAACACCUUCCUUCAAGUUUCCUUUGUGAAUCCCCUCUAUAAAAGCCUCUCAUUAAGCAUUCUUCAUACACAAAACUAACUUCUCUAUCAGUAUCAAUAUUAUACCUACAUCUCAACUCACAUUACAAUCACUGGUGCAUACAACUAGUCUAAGUAAAUUUGGAAGAAUAUGGCUAUUGUAUUGGAAGAAGUAGAUACAUUGGUCAAAAUGACCCUUUUUGUUGUAGUUCAAGCUUUGGUCUACUUUAUUCUCACCAAUUCAUCUGAUGUUUUCUCAACCAAAAAGAUGAUCAGGUCUUUAAGCUUCAAGCAGCCAGGUCGUAUUAGCCUACGUCGUAUGCUUUCUACUAUAUCUGAGGUCCCAGAAAGCGUUGAAGAAUCUACAUCUUCAAUCCAAGAUUAUCAGAGCAUCAACCAAAGUAUAGUUUCUUGAGUUUUAAUAGCUAUACACAGAGCUAAUACCAAAGGGACAAAUGUCUUCUGGUUUGAUUGUUGUGAUUUCAUUGUAUUUAUGUAACAGUAAGACAUUUAUACAAGCAAUUAUUUGAUUCUUUUAUGAUGUCUUAUAUGUAUGAAUUUGGUAUGUAACAGAAUUCAGACUGAAGUCGAAACAAUAAACUAGCAACAACGACUGAUAACACAACUGAAUUAGCUUCUCAACCAUAGGCACGCAACUUCACUUCUAUUGAAGAUUUUCAUCAUUGAUAAUUUCUGUAUUCAGUUAACAAAUCUGUCUCGAUAUUAUUUAAGGCAUUUUGCUAGCCAGGCUUCAUAAAAUCUGGUCAGCUGAUAAGCUCACCUAACUAGAUUACCACUAUAUGCCAGAGCCAAUACAAUAGAAUGAAAGCCAAAAUCAACCUUAAGGUUUUGAUCUCUGCCUCAUAAUUGGUUACUGACUUCCAUAAUCUGCAUUUUUCAUAUCUAUGCAGCUUUAUGGUGCCUGCUUACGGAUUUGAUCAGAUUGAAAUUCCUGUAAAAGCUUAAUGGACUGGUGAUAGAGAUUAAGAUCAAUGCCAUCUACAU
rnacentral:lncRNA from 1 species